GGGGCGGGCCGUCUCCCGUAGCAACGGCGAGGGGGCGGCGCCGCCGCCCCGCACGCACCGCACGCACGUACGUACGCGCGUGCGUCAUCACGGAGCGUUCCAGCGCGUCACGCACGGCCCCGCCCCUUCCGGUUUUGCGCCCCCCUCAGGUCCUCACCUGAGCGGCAGCCGCCGCCGCGGGGCUCCCGAACGAAUCCACCGAAGAAAGGCUCCGGUUCUCCUCUAGAAGUCCCGGUAGAACCUUGCCAAGUCCCGGUUCCCCGUUGUAAGCUCCACCAGCACCUCGCCGAGUCCCGGUUCUCCGCGAUGAGCUCCGCUAGAACCUUUCCGAGUCCCGGUUCUCCGUUGCAAGCUCCGCUAGAACCUUUCCGAGUGCCCGGUUCUCCGUUGUAAACCCCAGUAUUCCGUUGCCGUCGUCUCGCUUCUCCGCUCCCGACCCGCUUCUAUCCCAUCCGAACUCCGUUUUGCGGCUCUCGUUGCUCUUCUUUUCGGAAUCCCGGACCGGUUCCCCGUUCCGUCCGGUACCGAGUCCCUCUUCCCCCUCUCCUCUCCCUCCUCAAUCAAUGAAGCUUUUUUUAUGAAUGAACCGCUCUCCGGCGCGCGGCGGCUUUAUACGGCGGCGCCCCGCCCCCUUUUGCUGACGUCACAGCUCCACCGUUUUGAUGGGGGGGGGGGUCCCGGUGAUGGGGGGGGGGUCCGCUGAACCCCUCCGGUGUCGGCGCGGCUCCGUCCGUCGGUUCUGCGCCGCGAUCGCUGCGAUCGCCGCCGUUAUGAGGAUCCGAAGGGGGCGGAGGGAAGCGGGGGGGAUCCCUCGCCCCGCCCCGUUCUUUCCCCCCCCCGGGCCGGAGUUCCUGUGACGCAAUUAACCAUAUAUGGCCUUGGC